ACUCUUAGGGGAGGCACCAGUGGGGAAUAUUGCCCAAGGGGGGAAACCCUGACGCAGCAACGCCGCGUGAGGGAGGAAGUCCUUGGGGUGGUAAACUCCUUUCGCCCGGGAAGAUAAUGACGUAC
rnacentral:rRNA from 1 species